GAUGAACGCUAGCGGCAGGCUUAAUACAUGCAAGUCGAGGGGCAGCAGUCCCGCAGCAAUGCGGGAGCUGGCGACCGGCAAACGGGUGCGGAACACGUACAGAACCUUCCUUCGAGCGGGGAAUAGCCCAGAGAAAUUUGGAUUAAUACCCCAUAGCAUUACGAAGUGGCAUCACUUUGUAAUUAAAGAUUUAUCACUCGAAGAUGGCUGUGCGGCUGAUUAGGUAGUUGGCGGAGUAACGGCCCACCAAGCCUUCGAUCAGUAACUGGUGUGAGAGCACGACCAGUCACACGGGCACUGAGACACGGGCCCGACUCCUACGGGAGGCAGCAGUAAGGAAUAUUGGUCAAUGGACGAAAAGUCUGAACCAGCCAGCCGCGUGGAGGAU
rnacentral:rRNA from 1 species